rnacentral:rRNA from 1 species
AGUCAAUAGAUACCCUGGUAGUCCCAGCAGUAAACGGUGCGCGUUUGGUGUGAGCAGAUUCGACUCUGUUCGCGCCGGAGCUAACGCGUUAAACGCGCCGCCUGGGAAGUACGAUCGCAAGAUUAAAACUCAAAGAAAUUGACGGGGGCCCGCACAAGCGGUGGAGUAUGUGGCUUAAUUCGAUGCAACGCGAAGAACCUUACCUGGGUUUGACAUGCAUCUCUAAGGAGGUGAAAGCUUCCGAGGGUAGCAAUACCCGAUUUGCACAGGUGCUGCAUGGCUGUCGUCAGCUCGUGUCGUGAGAUGUUGGGUUAAGUCCCGCAACGAGCGCAACCCUUGUAUGCUGUUGCUAUGCUUACGCAUAGCUCUCUGCGUAGACUGCCCCGUGAAACGGGGUAGGAAGUGGGGAUGACGUCAAGUCAGCAUGGCCCUUACACCCAGGGCUGCACACGUACUACAAUGCUCAGUACAAUUAGAACCUGCCCCGCGAGGG